CCAUACAUAGCCAGUGGGGAGAUAAAGUAAUAUGAUUAAGUUCUAGUCAGGUGUGACUGCCUGCCUGUUGACACUGAGCCACAUCUCUUCCUAGUCUUGUUUCUAAGAGAUAUGAGCAAAUAAAAGAAAUGAAACAGAGACCAGCACCCAGCUGUGAUACUCUUCUAUGUGGUCAAGAUGGAGAGAGAACUGAGAAAAGAAUGACUUUCUCACCCAGAUGCAAUGUUACUUAAUCUCAUGUCAUUGUACGAUCUAAAGUCAUUUUAUAUCUCUUAGAAAAAUUCUGCAAAAUAGUUCUCAUCCCCAUAUUGCAUGUGAGGAAUCUGAAAUUGACAGCUGAAGUGACAUGCCAAGGCCACUCAGCUACUAAGUGGAGAUGCUGAAUUCAAAUUCUGGUCUCCACAGUUCCAAAGACUGUAAUUUUCCACUGAGCCAUACUAGGAAAUUAAAAAGAUCAUAAUUUGGAUUCUUUGGGGUGGAAAUGUUUGGAGGGUGAAUGAAGGGAAUCAUGGUUGGGAAAACCUUAGGAAGGGCUGUGUGUUGGCCAAGGAAACAUAAGAGGAGAUAGGUCACUUCCCAAGCCCUCUCUCGGUGCCUGGCCCAGCUCAGUGGUACCCGC